CCUACGGGAGGCAGCAGUAGGGAAUAUUUCUCAAUGGGGGAAACCCUGAAGCAGCAACGCCGCGUGGAGGAUGAAGGUUUUCGGAUUGUAAACUCCUUUUCUUAGGGAAGAUAAUGACGGUAUCUGACGAAUAAGCACCGGCUAACUCCGUUCCGGCAGCCGCGGUAAUACGUAGGGUGCAAGCGUUACCCGGAUUCACUGGGCGUAAAGGGCGCGUAGGCGGGAGAGCAAGUCAGAUGUGAAAGCCUAUGGCUUAACCAUAGGACUGCAUAUGAAACUGUUAUUCUAGAGUAUGGGAGAGGUAAGUGGAAUUCUUGGUGUAGCGGUGAAAUGCGUAGAGAUCAAGAGGAAUACUCAUGGCGAAGGCGGCCUGCUGGACCAUAACUGACGCUGAUGCGCGAAAGCGUGGGGAGCAAACAGGAUUAGAUACCCUAGUAGUC
rnacentral:rRNA from 1 species